ensembl:lncRNA
GUGAGCUGUGAACAUCCGGGUUUGCUUGCUGCUGGCAUUCGACCAGCGUCUCAGCAACAACACUGCCUCCCAGCUUUGCAAGGUAAUUACUUUCCCAAUUACUGUACACCAAAAUGGACUAACUGUCGUGGUCAACAAAUCUGCCUCCUAACUUUCAAGGUAAUCACUUUCCCAAUUACAAUAUACAAACUGUUAUGGAACUUUACUUAACAAAGCCUUAAGACCGGGUAGUGACACUAUCAAUAUGUCUAUUUAAAGAAAAGAGAUUUUUUUUUUUUUUUUUGUUCUUGUAGUCAUCUUGUCUAUCAAUGUAUCAGAGGGUUAAAAUAACAAAUUGCUUGAAAUGCCAAUAAUUAAUAUUCUGUUUUUAUGCUGACAUUCUACCAGAUGCCGAGAAAAAAUAAAAGAUCCCAGGCACAAAAGAAGCGCCUGAAACCACUUGACUUGGUCGAUCCUGUUGUCCCAAUGCUCACUGGCCACAACCAAGAUGAGGCAGUCAGUCGUUUUCCAUCUGACCAGACGGCACCAGCCAGGUUAUCUUUGGAAACACAGGAUAGACCCACCUCCUUAUGUUCCCCAGGUCCCAAGCAGACAGCACCAGCCAGCUUGUCCUUGGAAACGCAGAAUAGACCAACCUCCUUAUGUCCUCCAGGCAGCAAGAUUUCAGACACUCGUCCACCAGCAAAACGAGUCUGGGCAACCGAUGAUUUCCACACGGCAUCAAAUUCUCCACCUAAAAAGCCUUUCCACAACACAAAUGAACAACUACUGACAGAGGAGCUACAGAGUAACGCAGUUCAGCACUUCUGGUGUGUCAGUGCAACUCAUUGUCAAAGUGAUGAAAGGUACACAGAAUUCUCUCGAAAUCAUCAGUGCACAUGUAAUGCCCUCACAUUCCUGGCCUACCUUAAUGAGGAACACCAGUUCAACACAGCCCGACUUGAUAAGGUGCUUGAACAGGGAGAUGCACUCUACUGUUGGAUUAAAACAAAUCUUCAGCAGGAGAGGCGUUAUACACAAGAUCAUCUGACCAUGGAGGACCUGCCCAAAGAAGUUCAUGCUGACAUAAAUGUCUACAGUGUGAAAAUGGAC